AGGACGAACGCUGGCGGCGUGCUUAACACAUGCAAGUCGAGCGGUAAGGCCUUUCGGGGUACACGAGCGGCGAACGGGUGAGUAACACGUGGGUGAUCUGCCCUGCACUCUGGGAUAAGCCUGGGAAACUGGGUCUAAUACCGGAUAUGACCUGCUCUCGCAUGGGGGGUGGGUGGAAAGAUUUUAUCGGUGCAGGAUGGGCCCGCGGCCUAUCAGCUUGUUGGUGGGGUAAUGGCCUACCAAGGCGACGACGGGUAGCCGACCUGAGAGGGUGACCGGCCACACUGGGACUGAGACACGGCCCAGACUCCUACGGGAGCAGCAGUGGGAAUAUUGCACAAUGGGCGAAAGCCUGAUGCAGCGACGCCGCGUGAGGAUGGAACGGCCGUUCGGGUUAGUAAACCUCGUUUCAGCGAGGGACGAAGCGACAAGUGACGGUACCUGACGAGAAGAAGACGACCGGACUAACCGUACGUCGACCCAAGCGACGCCGACGGUAAUCCGUAGACGGCGGUCGUGGACGAA
rnacentral:rRNA from 1 species